ensembl:lncRNA
AGAAAGAGGAGGAGGAGAAAGAGGAGGAGGAGGAGGAGGAAGCCUCUCCCCGGCGCGGCCGCCUGUCAGCGAGCUGAGAGCAGGGGAUUUCUGCGCCCCUGGGAGAGGGACCGCUCUGCCGGGAAACUCCCGGAAGCCCACCCCCGGGCCGGCACAGCACGCACCGCGGCUUCCUUAGGUGCCCUCAGCGAGCAGAAAGGAUUGUGCUAGAGAGCAAGCAACCCCGGGGGUUGAGCAAGAAAACUGCUUCAAAUACUGUUUGGAGGCAGCACUCAGACCUUAUUAUUUUCAACCAAGGAUUCCAAAGCUGCAACAUGGAAAACGACUCAAGGUAAGAUUUAUAAUAAAUAGAUAUCUGACCUCUCCCCCCAGACAGGCAGAGCUGGCAGCAUGUUCCCUCCUGGCAGGUAGAUGGCCUGGCAGAUACCACCUCCACGUGAAAGCACACACUUCUCUACGACUCUCCAGUGGUGGCCCAGUAAACCUCACCUGGCAGUUUCUACUCCGUUCAGUUGCAGCUGCUUUGUGGAACCAGUAUCUAUUGAAGGGAUUUGUCCACCUACUUCAGAGAGCUGGGCAUGAAUUAAAUAUUAAACAUUAUGGUGAGGCCCCAGGUUCAGAAUUAACAUUUCUUUUGGAAUCAUGUCUUCAAAACUAUUCUGAUCUUCAGCAAAUGUUGGUCCAACGUAACUUUUAACGACCACACUUGUAUUUGGGUUCCAAGAGUGCUUUUUUUUUUAGUAUUGCUGACAUUUAUCUGCAUCCUGAGCUGUAUCAAUUUUGUCUGGGAAUUUUGGAAAUGAUUCUGAAGUUCCAGUGAACGGUGCAUUAUAUUCAUAAAACAAGGAUGCCGCUGACCUUUCAGCACAAGAGAAUAGAUGAGAAUCAUGAACCUGAGACUCAUCUAACAGAACGCAGUGGAAACACAUAGGAUGAAAGGCUCUGAAGGCUUUACAAAUUAUAUUUGGAUGUGGGAGAGCAAGGAGAAAGAGAAUGUGGGAAAAAAGAAGAAUGAAAAAGGAUCCUGCUGUUUAGCUCAUGCAUAAACUGUAUGUGCUCAGCCAAAGGUCACUCCUUUUAUUUUCUCAUUAAUUUCAAUGACGGUAUAUAAAAAAUGAUCUAAAACUAAAAACAGCCAGAAACAGUUUGGGUUUUUCUGCAACAGUAUAGUGGGAUGUGAAACCUGAGCUGCAACUUCAUUCUGUAUCCUUUCUUUCGACUUUUUAAAAAGGAGUGACUUAAAGUUAAUUAUUUAAGAUGAACUGUAAAUUUAUGUAGAAAAAUGUAAGUGGUCUACUUCUGAUGUGUUUUCCAAGAAAAAUGCUCUACAACUUACCUGGAAGUAUAUGAGUUUAAAAAUGAGGGUUUUAUAGCCUGAGUGCAUUGAAAUUAUUUCAUUUCUGUUGUUGUUGUUGUUGUUGUUUUUUUAAUCCAGUGAUAUUGGUAAGAAAUGGUAUAGUUGGACACUUUUGAGGGUGAGUUGUCUAGGUACUAAACACAAGUGAGGCAAACAUUAAAUACUAGGCUCAGUUUUAAAAAGGGAAGGAAAAAAAGCAUUGGGUAGCCUGCAGGUACAUACAAACACUGGCACAAGGAAACUGCCACCCACAGCAGAUGAAAGUAGAAGACAGAGUGGGAAUAUAGAAGGAAUCAUGAAUAUUCUGCAGUGACGAUGGUGAAUGAGUGCCUCAAACAAAUCUUCAGAAAACAGGAGCCCUUCAUACAGAGAUUGAUGCUACAUCUGCCAACUUUUUUUUUUUUCAGAGAAUAAAAGAAAAAGCCAACAUCUACA